AUGGAUCCCGCCGCAAAUCAGGUCGCCCGAGGCAACAAAUGGACCAGAGCUCCGCAGCUCGGGGACCUCGUCCUCGCCAAGGUCAAGGGUUACCCUUUCUGGCCAGCCAAGGUGAGCAGGCCGGAGGAUUGGAAUCAGGAGCCUGCUCCACGCAAGUUCUUUGUUCUUUUCUUCGGCACCAGAGAGAUUGCUUUUGUAGCUUUGCAUGAUCUCUUGCCGUUUACAGAAGAGGUGAAGAGUGACCUGGUAAAUCAAGCUCGAGAGAAACGAUUCCCGAAAAGACAUGCAAAAGGUCUUGAAGAAGCCUUGGUGGAGGUACAGAAGGCCUAUGAUGAACUCCCAAAAUCAUCUGAAACUUCCAAUGGUUUGUUUCCUAAUCGAACUCCUGAUCCAAUUGAAAAACCUACAGAGCCCCUUGUAAAGCCACCUACUGAUGGUUGGACUCCAAAACUGGAACAAAUUGAUGAUUUUGAUGGGAGGUACCUGAGCCUCAAAAGAGAGGAGAGAGAUGUCCCAAAAUCAUCUGAAACUGCCAAUGGUUUGUUGCAUGAUCAAACUCCUGAUCCGGUUGAAAAACCUACAGAGCCCCUUGUAAAGCCACCUACUGAUGGUGGGACUACAAAACUGGAACAAAUUGAUGAUUUCGAUGGGAGGUACCCGAGCCUUAAAAGCGAAAAGAGAGUUCGGUAUGCUGGCAUUGAGGAGAGGAACUUGGAGGAUCCCUAUGGCAUACCAAGAUGCAUUGCUGCGCUUGAAGGAUUGCCGGAUUUACAAAUGGAAGAUGUGCUAAAAGCAGCUGACCUCUUCACCGACAACAAGGGCAAUCGAGAAGUCUUCCUCUCUUUUUCAAGUAAUGCAUUUCGGCUUGGUUGGGUAAGAAGAAAAAUUCAGAACACCUAG
rnacentral:rRNA from 1 species